rnacentral:rRNA from 1 species
ACGGAAGGCAGCAGUGGGGAAUAUUGGACAAUGGGCGAAAGCCUGAUCCAGCGACGCCGCGUGAGUGAAGAAGUAUUUCGGUAUGUAAAGCUCUAUCAGCAGGGAAGAUAAUGACGGUACCUGACUAAGAAGCCCCGGCUAACUACGUGCCAGCAGCCGCGGUAAUACGUAGGGGGCAAGCGUUAUCCGGAUUUACUGGGUGUAAAGGGAGCGUAGACGGUUUGGCAAGUCUGAAGUGAAAUGCGGGGGCUCAACUCCUGAACUGCUUUGGAAACUGUCGAACUAGAGUGCAGGAGAGGUAAGUGGAAUUCCUAGUGUAGCGGUGAAAUGCGUAGAUAUUAGGAGGAACACCAGUGGCGAAGGCGGCUUACUGGACUGUAACUGACGUUGAGGCUCGAAAGCGUGGGGAGCAAACAGGAUUAGAUACCCUGGUA